rnacentral:rRNA from 1 species
CAAGUCAAGGGGGCCCAGCAAUGGGCAACCGGCGAACGGGUGCGUAACACGUGAGCAACCUACCGAACUGUGGGGGAUAGCCGGCCUAACGGCCGAGUAAUACCGCAUACGCUUUCAGUGAGGCAUUUCAUUGGAAGGAAACCUACGGGACAGAUCGAGGGGCUCGCGGCCUAUCAGCUAGUUGGCGAGGUAACGGCUCACCAAGGCUACGACGGGUAGCUGGUCUGAGAGGAUGGCCAGCCACAUUGGGACUGAGAUACGGCCCAGACUCCUACGGGAGGCAGCAGUGGGGAAUCUUGCGCAAUGGCCUAACGGCUGACGCAGCGACGCCGCGUGUGGGAUGAAGCUCUUCGGAGUGUAAACCACCGUUGCCCGGGACGAAUAGCUCGAUUAAUCGAGCCUGACGGUACCGGGUGAGGAAGCACCGGCUAACUCCGUGCCAGCAGCCGCGGUAAUACGGGGGGUGCGAGCGUUGUCCGGAAUCACUGGGCGUAAAGGGCGCGUAGGUGGUUUGAUAAGGGUGUGGUGAAAGCCCGGGGCUCAACCCCGGGUCUGCCGUGCCGACUGUCAAACUCGAGGGCUGUAGAGGCAGACGGAAUUCCGGGUGUAGCGGUGGAAUGCGUAGAGAUCCGGAGGAAGACCGGUGGCGAAGGCGGUCUGCUGGGCAGUUUCGGACACUGAUGCGCGACAGCGUGGGGAGCAAACAGGAUUAGAUACCCUGGUAGUCCACGCCGUAAACGAUGGGUACUAGGUGCCUGGGGGAAGCGACCCUCUGGGUGCCGGCGCUAACGCAGGAAGUACCCCGCCUGGGGAGUACGACCGCAAGGUUGAAACUCAAAGGAAUUGACGGGGGCCCGCACAAGCGGUGGA